GUUUGUUUAAUGAUCCGUCUUCUGCAGUAGUGAGGGUGUUGUGUCAUCCUAGGACAACCUUUUGGACUGGUGAAAAUAUAUUUAUGGACUGGUGAUUGGGAAUCACUACUUAGAAGAUAAAAAUAUGAUCUUCAUUUCUAAUCAUUUAUAAUUUUGUUGAAUAUUUUUAUUUUUUUCAAUCUAGAACUUAUGUUUAAAUCUGUUUUAAAAGUUUCAAAUAAAACUGUAGUUUCCUCCACGUUGAAGGAAGCUUCAAA
rnacentral:lncRNA from 1 species